rfam:Triticum aestivum genome assembly, contig: Triticum_aestivum_CS42_TGACv1_scaffold_621501_7DS
UAUAUACUCCCUCUGAUCCAUAUUAAUUGUCAUUCAAACGGAUGUAUCUAGCACUGAAAUACGUCUAGAUACAUCCAUUUCAGUGAUAACUAAUAUGGAUCAGAGGGAGUAACAU